AAUCCAUGAUGCGGACAGAGUCUCAUCAGGUCUUUGUAUCAUUCCCAGGCUUUAAAAAGAGAUUCGUUAUCUUUUUGCCUAAAUCCGUUGAUUUGGGCUCUUAACAU